ensembl:lincRNA
AUGGUCAGAGACUCGAGACACCUCUGGGACACUCAGAUCACAGGCCCAUUGGUCAGCAGACCUGCGCAUCUAUCUGGAGUCCAGCUUGGCUUGUGUGGCCCAGGCGCCCCCUCACACUUGCCCCAGCACACUCACCCAGCGCCAUGCGGUCCAGGCUGCCCACCACCAGGCUGUCGAAAAUAUGGCCCCUCAGGCAGCAGUGCCAGCACGUGGGCAGCCCACCUCAGGCCCAGGCGCGGGCACAGGAAGUGGCUCAGCGCGCUCUCCACGGCCAGCACGUCGAAGCCGCAGGCCAGGUACAGCUGCACGUACUUGCUCUGGGCAGCUGGCCCCGCCCCCAGCCAGGGCAGGAGCAGGAGCAGUGGGCGGGGCCCUGGGGACCCCGCGGGGCCCGGCCUGCAGUACAAGUGGAUGGAGCGGGAGAGCCGGGUCACCGUCACGUCGGCGGGGAGCAGCGGGACCAUGGCCGCGCCCUGGAGGCCAGAGGAAGGAGGAGUGGUGCAGGAGGCCUCGGGACUGAAGCAGGAGGUGAAAUCCCUCAGAUGGAACUCCAUACAAAAGGAGGGGCAAAGCAGAACUGACCGUGUAAAGUUAAAAGCCCCAAGUGAACGGAACCCAAAACCCACAGGGCUGAGAAGGAAACAUAAUCCUAACUGUGAAACGAAAGGCCACUCUUGCACUCUUCCAGGAUGAGAGAUGCUGAACAGAGCUUCUGGGUUUUGGUGUGACUUUGACGUCCCUGAGAGUUUACAAGACCCUUUGCUGGGAAUAACUGUGGAGCACAUCUCGAGGGAGUCCUGAAAAACACAGAGCUCACUGCGGUGAGAGCUGUAGCUGUGAACUAGACCUCGGACAUCUGGAUGGAAUAUGCUCAGGGCAGUAGGUUGCGCUGUGCUCUCUGCUUCUUCUCCUUUUAAACACUUUUUAUUUUAUAUUGGAGUAUAUCUGAUCCACAAUGUCACGAUAGAUUCAGGUACACAGCAGAGCAACUCAGCCAUGCAUAUAUGUGUAUCCAUUCUUCCCCCAGCUCCCUCCCAUCCAGGCUGCCACACAAUAGAGUGUGCUCUCUGCUUCGGAGCUCACUCCCAUCUUCUCUCAGGAGCAGGCCACAGUGGAACCCUUCCUCAGCAGGUGUGGAAGGGUGAACAGCAGCCUCACUGUACUCAGUCAAGACAAGGCAAGUACUGCAAACACCGACCGGGGCAGGCUCACCCAGAUAUUCUGAGCUGAGAGUCUAAAGAUGGUGCAAGGAUCGUGGUGACAACUGUCAAAGCGUCCGUCUCUUGAGUCAGUCACGCUGCUCCGAUCUGAACCCAUGUCCCUUUACAUGAGACACACGGCUGAUGCCCUGGAAUCCCCCUUCACUAUCUUUCCAGGAGAUCCUUUUGCCUCUCUCCUGUGACGGAUUUCCUAUGCUUUCCAGAAAACCUGCAUGAAAGAUAAACUUUUUGAAAUCUUGCGUUUCUGAAAAAUCUAUAUAUUCUUUUUACUUGAUAGAUAACUUGAAUGAAUCCAAAUCCAAAGCCUUUCUUAUAUGUAAUCCUUUGUAUGUUACUUUUUUUUUUUUCUUUUUGAAAGUUUCUUGACUCUUCUCUUUAAUGGCCUGGGUAUGGGUUUAUUUUCAUCCAACCAACCCUUAUAAUCCAGUAACGCAUAUCCUUCUGUUCUGGAAAAUUUCCUCCAAUUAGUUCAUUGGUGAUUUCCUCCCUUUCAGUUUUCUCCUUUUAGAAUUUAUAUUAUUUCUAUUUAGAUUAUUUCUAUUAUCCUGAAAGUGUCCUUUAAAAUUCUUAUCAACAAGAACGUACUUUAUAGCACAGAGAACUCUACUCAACCCUCUGUAAUGGCAUAUUUGGGAAAAUAAUCUUAAAAAGAAUAGACAUAUGUAUAUGUAUAACUGAUUCACUUUGCUGUACACCUGAAACUACAAUAACACAUUGUAAAUCAACUAUAUUCCAAUUUUUAAAAUGCUCUCAUCUUUCCCCUCCCGCAUUCCCACAUUUUCUAUCUCUUUGUACGUUUGUUUUACUUUCCAGGGAGAUUCAAUCAGCUUUACCUGCCUGUCUUUCUGUUGAUUUUUUUGUUUCUGCUGUCAGAAUUUUAUUUCUCAAGACAUAAUUGUUGCUUUUGCUAUUCUCUGGCUGUUUCUUUGUAUAGCACCUUGUUCUUGUUUCAUGGAUGCAGAUCUUAUCCCUCUAAGGAUACUGUGGUCUUUUUGACCCUCUCUUCUCUCUGGGUAGUCUGUUUCCUCGAAGUUACUUUUUUUCUGAUUGUUUUGUUACUCUCUUCUGCCUUUGAAAAUUCCCUAAAUGUCUGGCAAUCUUUGGCUAUGAUUAAGAUUGUGGGGAUGGGAGGGCGGCUAGUCAGAAACUCUGAGCUCAGAAAGAGGCUGGGUUUGCCACUGCAGCUUGGGCUAGCUGGGCUGUUUCUCAUGUCAGUAACUUUAGGUCUUUCCUCCUGGACUGGUGAAAUGCCCCAGAGUAGUGUCAUCUCCUGUCUAGGUCCUACUCCUAGCACUUGGGGAGCCUGAUGGUGAUAGAAAGCUCAGCAUCUCUGCAUUUCACCAUUCCGUCUGGCAAGGUCAACUGAUCCUUUGGAUUUCAGUAUUUUUCAGUGUGGUAUCUCCAUUGACAACUGUGCUCCAACCCAGAUACCUUCUAUCUUAUCUUCAGAAGAAAACUCCCCAGACUCUCGCUGGGAUAUGAGAGGAGCUGUUGCCCAGGGGUUUGGAGCUAGGGGAGAGAUGGAGGAAUCUAACUGCCCAUUCUGGUCCUUAUCCUAGCAACCUCUUCCACCUUUCACUUCUGGGAAUCCAUAGGUACCACGGAGUUCUCCAUGCCUCUGAGAAUCUUGCAAUGCAGAUCCAGUAGGCUUUCAGCUCCCAUCAGCCGUGAUAGCUGACAUGACUUUUUCCUUGGCGCCGAUAAGUCAGUGCUGGUCUGCCAUUCUGCUUCAAAAAUGUUGUGGCUGUUGUCUUUUUCCAUGUUCUCUCUAUCCUUGUAGGUUUAUCUCUUGAUUUAAAAAACCUCUUUAUUGAAGUUUUAGUGGGGUUUUGGGAAGGAGUGAAAGUAGAUGUACACAUUCAAUUACCAUCUUAACCCAGAACCCUAACUUCCCUUUACAACAUGUUUUUAAAAAUAUAAUUCCUGGGAAUCACCUUCCUUGGCCAUGGAGGGCUGUUAUUUUAAUGUAUUGGGGUAUGUUUAUUUCUGUCUUUCCAUUUAGAAGUCUUUCUGUGAACAUGAUUAGCAGGAAAUGAGCCUUUCUAUGAGGAGGAUGAAAGGAAAAUGUCUCUAGUGGGAUAACUUUUAUUAAGUAUAUAAGAGAAGCCCAAAGGCUGGAUCUCAGUAUGCAGUCUCCAGGCAGCCUCUAAAUGACAAGGUGGGGUGAGGGUUUCCCUACUAGAGGAAGGACCCUAUAGCGAUCCCUGAGGGUGCAUCCAGGGAAUGCCCUUGGCAAUGUUUUGUUUAGAGACUCAGAAUAAAUCCCAGAUUUCAUCAGUGAUGUGCCCUGGAAGGGUGGGGGGUGUUCAGUCAGUGGCCUGAUUUUAUCUUACAUCAAUUGUGGGGAUUCUGUAAUAAGAAAGUGAGCCCUGGAUGCCUUUCUGAAAUGCUACCCAUUGCCCAUUUGGGCCCCAGAAUCAUUCAUUCAUUUGUUAUUCAUUUUGCUAAUACACGGUGAGCGUGCCCCUGGGCCAAGUGCUAUGCUGGCCAUACCUGAGACAGACCUGCCCUAGGUAACUCUUUAAGCACCCACUCCCCAAUCUUACCGAGCAGCAAGUUAGAGGGAUCAGGGUAACAUCCAAGGCUGUAAUCUGUUGACACAUUUUCUCUCUAUGCAGCUUGUGAUGAGGACUAAAGUGAGGAGAUGCCUAAGCACCCACCAUGGUUGGAUGUCUGGGUUUUUCCAGGACAGCUUUAUAUGGUGCAGAGAACCCACUGUGUUUUAUGUUUUCCUGAUACUUUCAAAUAGGAACAUUUUGGGGAUUUAGAGAUUCAAGUCUGCAUAAACCAGCCAGUAUUACUUAAAUCAGUCACUGCAACAGAACCACAGGGUCCCUGAAGUGUCCACAGUAACUGCCCUGCUCAUGAAUAAUUUUCCACACUGGCCUGGGUGCUCUUAUAUUCCUGGGCUAACACUCUUUGACAGAGAAGGCAAUGGCACCCCACUCCAGGACUCUUGCCUGGAAAAUCCCAUGGACGGAGGAGCCUGGAAGGCUGCAGUCCAUGGGGUCGCUGAGAGUUGGACACGACUGAGCGACUUCACUUUCACUUUUCACUUUCAUGCAUUGGAGAAGUAAAUGGCAACCCACUCCAGUGUUCUUGCCUGGAGAAUCCCAGGGAUGGGGUAGCCUGGUGGGCUGCCGUCUAUGGGGUCGCCCAGAGUCGGACACGACUGAAGUGACUCAGCAGUAGCAGCAACACUCUUUGACUUCACUGUUCUCCUCUUGCCCAUUAUUAGAAACAAGUUGUAAACCACUUCUCACAAGGCUCUUGAAGUGUUUUUUUUUUUUUUUUUUUGAGAACUCAGUCUUAGCAAAAAGAAAUGUUACACACGGAUUGAGCCUUGGCUGUUCAUCUAUGAAAUGGAGGUACUUCCAACUAUUGAAAGCCAUCAGGUGAUGGAGAAGACAGCAGAGAGACUGAGUUCAGGUUGCCAAACUGUGCCAUCUUGGACAAAUUCCUGAGUUAUUUUUUCCCCCAAGCCUUAAUUUACCUAUCUGUGAAAUGGGUACACCCACAGAGUUAUUGUCAGGGACUAAUGAAACAAGGGGUGUGGACAUGCUUAUUACACUUUCCACUCACGGCUUAAUAAACAUAGUGGUUCUUCUUGCCCGGGUGCCACCCUGGGCAGGCUGCGGUGUGUGUGCACGUGCGCGUGUGUGCACACGAGUGUGCACGCGGUGCUCUAGCCCGCGGUGUUUCCCGGGGAGGGCAUGCAAGUGGAUGUGUGUGAUGGGCCGCCCUGGGAGCGUGCGGCUGCCGGCACCAGGCUGAGAGCGCGGCACCGGCGCCCGCCCCCGCCCGCGGGGGGCGCGGGGGUCGCGCGCCCGGGGGCGCAGGGCCCGGGG